GUACCGUGAGGGAAAGGCGAAAAGAACCCCGGCGAGGGGAGUGAAAAAGAACCUGAAACCGUGUACGUACAAGCAGUGGGAGCCCCACCACUAAGCCAGUGGUGAACUCCACAUACGCAUCCUUUGCUGAGGAUACGGUUAACGGAGCGAAAGCGACGUUCAACCGCAAAAGAAGCAGAGGGGGCUUAGUGGUGGGGUGACUGCGUACCUUUUGUAUAAUGGGUCAGCGACUUAUAUUCUGUAGCAAGGUUAACCGWAUAGGGGAGCCGGAGGGAAACCGAGUCUUAACCGGGCGUUAAGUUGCAGGGUAUAGACCCGAAACCCGGUGAUCUAGCCAUGGGCAGGUUGAAGGUUGGGUAACACUAACUGGAGGACCGAACCGACUAAUGUUGAAAAAUUAGCGGAU
rnacentral:rRNA from 1 species